rnacentral:rRNA from 1 species
AACGAACGCUGGCGGCAGGCCUAACACAUGCAAGUCGAACGCUCCGCAAGGGGAGUGGCAGACGGGUGAGUAACACGUGGGAAUCUUCCUGUUGGUACGGAAUAGCUCAGGGAAACUUGGGGUAAUACCGUAUAAGCCCGAGAGGGGAAAGAUUUAUCGCCGACAGAUGAGCCCGCGUCUGAUUAGCUAGUUGGUGAGGUAAUGGCUCACCAAGGCGACGAUCAGUAGCUGGUCUGAGAGGAUGACCAGCCACACUGGGACUGAGACACGGCCCAGACUCCUACGGGAGGCAGCAGUGGGGAAUAUUGGACAAUGGGCGCAAGCCUGAUCCAGCCAUGCCGCGUGAGUGACGAAGGUCUUCGGAUUGUAAAGCUCUUUUGCCAGGGACGAUAAUGACGGUACCUGGAGAAUAAGCCCCGGCUAACUUCGUGCCAGCAGCCGCAGUAAAAC